rnacentral:rRNA from 1 species
GUGCUUGCACCCAGGCGUCGAGCGGCGGACGGGUGAGUAAUGCAUAGGAAUCUGCCCAGUAGUGGGGGAUAGCCCGGGGAAACCCGGAUUAAUACCGCAUACGCCCUUUGGGGGAAAGCAGGGGAUCUUCGGACCUUGCGCUAUUGGAUGAGCCUAUGUCGGAUUAGCUUGUUGGUGGGGUAACGGCUCACCAAGGCAACGAUCCGUAGCUGGUCUGAGAGGAUGAUCAGCCACAUCGGGACUGAGACACGGCCCGAACUCCUACGGGAGGCAGCAGUGGGGAAUAUUGGACAAUGGGGGCAACCCUGAUCCAGCCAUGCCGCGUGUGUGAAGAAGGCUUUCGGGUUGUAAAGCACUUUCAGUGAGGAGGAAAACCUUACGACUAAUACUCGUGAGGCUUGACGUUACUCACAGAAGAAGCACCGGCUAACUCCGUGCCAGCAGCCGCGGUAAUACGGAGGGUGCAAGCGUUAAUCGGAAUUACUGGGCGUAAAGCGCGCGUAGGUGGUUUGAUAAGCGAGAUGUGAAAGCCCCGGGCUUAACCUGGGAACGGCAUUUCGAACUGUCAGGCUAGAGUGUGGUAGAGGGUAGUGGAAUUUCCUGUGUAGCGGUGAAAUGCGUAGA